AAAUGCGCCCAUAUCGAACCUCGUGAUGCUAAGAGUCCUUAAGUCCUCUGAUGUCCUUCGGGACUAGGGGUGAGGCUGAACGCUCGAUCCGAUCGGGUAGUAGGUAAGCGAUGGGGUGACGCAGGAAGGUAGUCCAGCCCAGGCGAUGGUUGUCCUGGGGUAAGCAUGUAGGGCGGAACGUAGGUAAAUCCGCGUUCCAUUAAGCCUGAGAUGUGAUGCCGAGCCGAUUGUGGUGAAGUGGAUGAUCCUAUGCUGCCGAGAAAAGCCUCUAGUGAGUGUUGUGGCGGCCCGUACCCUAAACCGACUCAGGUGGUCAGGUAGAGAAUACCAAGGCGAUCGGGUGAACUGUGGUUAAGGAUCUCGGCAAAUUGCCCCCGUAACUUCGGGAGAAGGGGGACCUCUGCUGGUGAUGGGCUUUACGUCUGGAGCUGGUGGGGGUCGCAGUGGCCAGGGGGAAGCGACUGUUUACUAAAAACUCAGGUCCGUGCGAAGUCGUAAGACGAUGUAUACGGACUGACGCCUGCCCGGUGCCGGAACGUUAAGGGGACCGCUUAGCCAGCUUCGGUUGGCGAAGGUGAGAACUUAAGCGCCGGUAAACGGCGGUGGUAACUAUAACCAUCCUAAGGUAGCGAAAUUCCUUGUCGGGUAAGUUCCGACCUGCACGAAUGGCGUAACGACUUCCCCGCUGUCUCAACCACAGACCCGGCGAAAUUGCACUACGAGUAAAGAUGCUCGUUUCGCGCAGCAGGACGGAAAGACCCCGGGACCUUCACUACAGCUUGACAUUGGCGUUUGGGGCGUCUUGUGUAGGAUAGGUGGGAGACUGGGAAGCUGUCACGCUAGUGAUGGUGGAGUCAUUGGUGAAAUACCACUCUGGUCGUUUUGAACGUCUAACUCUGGUCCGUGAUCCGGAUCGGGGACAGUGUCUGGUGGGUAGUUUAACUGGGGCGGUUGCCUCCUAAAGAGUAACGGAGGCGCCCAAAGGUUCCCUCAGCCUGGUUGGCAAUCAGGUGUUGAGUGUAAGUGCACAAGGGAGCUUGACUGUGAGACUGACAGGUCGAGCAGGAGCGAAAGCUGGGACUAGUGAUCCGGCAUCGGCGUGUGGAAGCGGUGUCGCUCAACGGCUAAAAGGUACCCCGGGGAUAACAGGCUGAUCUUCCCCAAGAGUCCAUAUCGACGGGAUGGUUUGGCACCUCGAUGUCGGCUCGUCGCAUCCUGGGGCUGGAGUAGGUCCCAAGGGUUGGGCUGUUCGCCCAUUAAAGCGGUACGCGAGCUGGGUUUAGAACGUCGCGAGACAGUUCGGUCCCUAUCCGCUGCGCGCGCAGGAGACUUGAAGGGGGCUGUCCCUAGUACGAGAGGACCGGGACGGACGAACCUCUGGUGUGCCAGUUGUACCGCCAGGUGCACGGCUGGUUGGCUACGUUCGGAAGGGAUAACCGCUGAAAGCAUCUAAGCGGGAAGCUCGCCUUGAGAUGAGGUCUCCCACCCUGUGAGGGGGUAAGGCUCCCGGUAGACGACCGGGUUGAUAGGCCGGGGGUGGAAGCACGGUAACGUGUGGAGCUGACCGGUACUAAUAGGCCGAGGACUUGACCAC
rnacentral:rRNA from 1 species